UAUGGCCAUAUCACAUUGAAACACUGGUCUCUGUAUGAUCACCAAAGUUAAGCAACAUCAAACUUGGUUAGUACCUAGAUGGGUGAUCACUUGGGAAUACCAGGUACUGUAAG